rnacentral:rRNA from 1 species
CCUACGGGAGGCAGCAGUGAGGAAUAUUGGUCAAUGGUCGUGAGACUGAACCAGCCAAGUAGCGUGCAGGAUGACUGCCCUAUGGGUUGUAAACUGCUUUUAUGCGGGGAUAAAAUGCUCCACGUGUGGGGUUUUGUAGGUACCGUAUGAAUAAGGACCGGCUAAUUCCGUGCCAGCAGCCGCGGUAAUACGGAGGGUCCGGGCGUUAUCCGGAUUUAUUGGGUUUAAAGGGAGCGUAGGCGGGAUGUUAAGCGAGCUGUGAAAUGCCGUGGCUCAACCGUGACACUGCGGUUGAAACUGGCUUUCUUGAGUGCGCGAGACGUAUGCGGAAUUCGUGGUGUAGCGGUGAAAUGCUUAGAUAUCACGAAGAACUCCGAUUGCGAAGGCAGCAUACGGGAGCGCAACUGACGCUGAAGCUCGAAGGCGCGGGUAUCGAACAGGAUUAGAUACCCUUGUAGUC